GGGCCGCUAGCUCAAUUGGCAGAGCAAUUCCCUCUUAAGGAAUAGGUUCUCGGUCCGACUCCGAGGCGGCUCA
rnacentral:tRNA from 1 species